GCAUUAGUUUGGAUUUAUGGCAGGCCCCUUUCCCUGGGCCUCUCAUAGUGUUCUGUGCUAGAGCAGCUCUUGGCUCUGAACCAUUGCCUGGCCUGUGUCUGUAGGCUGCUGGCACUGAAGUGGGUCACACAAUA
rnacentral:snoRNA from 7 species